GCGGCGCGAGGAGAGGCCCACCCCGCUGGCCGCGAGCCCCGCCUCACUACUACGCAGAUGGGGGCGUGGCCUUAUCUCGUCACGCCCCCUCCGCUCGCCCCUCAGCGGCCGGGGGAGGUGUGUGGUGGGGCUCGGGUGGGCGAGACCAUUCGCGAUGGUCCGGCGGGGAGGGCGGGCUGUACCAUCCGCGGGAGGAGCCUCGGGUCCUCUUCGCGCGCCAGGGCGCCGCGGGGCCCGGCCCCCCCGGGCUGCCCUCGGAGGCAGGGCCGCGCGGGCGUUUGGCGCCCAGGCCGCUACUCUGCGCAGCGCCCUCUUUGUGUACAGGCCCGCGGCAGCCCCCCGCUUUCUUCCCCGCGGAUGCGCACGUGCGUCCCGAGCGCGGCGGCUGUGCCCAGAGACCCGCCUGACCCCGAGCGCCCUUAGCCCUGGUCCCGGCUCCAGCCACUGCAGCACGCUCGCCUCUGGUCUCGCGCUCUGCCCUCAGGCACCUGUCCCCCGGUGAUCCACGCAAGGCCCAGUCUGUAGGUGAAGUGGCCUCCCUUAGAGCGACCCGGAAAGUGUGGUCGUAUUUCAAGGUGGACUUUCAAAGGCGGUGCUGCCUUGCGUCCGCGGGCCCCGCCGGUGGCCGUGCGCUCCAAGACGUGAAGGGAAGGGCAGGCCUUCCCUAGUGCAGAGGCACGGGGCUUGGCUGACUGUCCAUUUUUGCGGAAACCUUCCUCCUGUGUGGGAUCGCUGUCUGGAGAAGGGCUCCCGCGCUGCUCCGGGAAGAAGCAGACCCAGGACGGGAACACGUGGCUGAAAGGGCCAUCUCCAGAAAAGAGGAAGAGCUGCAGGUGCCGUCGGUGAUCCCCUCCAGAAUACCUCAAGGUGUGAUGCAAUAACUUGAGGGCCACGGAGUAGUAACUCGGUCUUGUGUUUACGAGGCAUCCUUCUCCAAGGGAAGCAAGGUGCUCUAAGGACAGCUCAUGUGCGGUACACAGGGGCAGCUCCAACGUUCCUGCGAGGAGAAUGACAGCAAACACCAUCUCCCGCCAAGACAUCCUGAGUGUCUGGGGUUUUCUGCUGAGCUUUGGAUGCCGCCGCGUCGAGGAAACUUUGCCAGACGCGCGUCACCCCCUCCGGCCUCCCCACAAGGGUGGGGCUUCCGGGGCAGCUCCCAGAGGCUAGAAGGCCAGUUCGGGAGUUUCCUCGGCGCCUCGAGGCAGCCCCUGGGCAGCUGUCAUACAACAAGAAUUUAGCCGUCUUUGUCUCCGGUUCCGGCUCAACCCCUCAGACCACACCUGAGUUUAUGCUAAUGAGGCGCUGGAAACUCAGAUGGGCGUCUGGAUCACGUGGCUGUGCUGAUGGGCGGAGAGCGCACCCAAGGGCCCUCCCGGACCUCACCUGUAGUCAUCGGGACCUGCUUUCCUGAGUUCCGUGAGCCAUUCUGGCGAACGAUGGAACUGGAGGGGGUGCCGGGAACCCCCCAAUUUGUAGCCAGUUGGUCAGAAGCACGAGGGGCCUGGAACCCCCAAAGUGCAGCUGGUGUCCGGAGUGAGGACGGUCUUGUGGGGGGCCGUGUCCUCAACCUGCAGGGUCUGCGCUGAGCCUGGAGUUGGUGUCAGGGUCGUGCCGCUCACCCCAGCGCACUCGCCUUGGGCCCAGGCGCCCGGUCCAGAUCUGUCCUGCGACCAGCCCCAGGUCUCAACAUGGCACCCCGGGGGCCUGGGGGCCACGCCCUAAGAGGAGGCAGUACCUCCAGCCUCACCGCGAGCGCGGGGAUGGGCCCGCUGCCCUAACGUUUCCCCGCGUCGCCGCUUCGUGUACGUUUGGGAACGGAGCAGUUGUAGUAGAUUUUGUUAUCGAAUAACACACGUCGUUGAAAGCUCAAAUAUAGAAGCAAACAAAAAUAUAGACGCCGAUAAAUGAAAAUACCCCCAGUGUCCCCAUGGGCUGUCGCCGUGCCCUGGAAGAGGUGCCCUUUUCAGGGGAGAAGGAGGAAGCCGGCCCGGUUCCCGCAGGGAAGGCGGGGAUGCUGCACCCGCCCCCAACCCUCCCCCUGCCCCCUCC